rnacentral:rRNA from 1 species
GAUCAUUACCUAGAGUUGUAGGCUUUGCCUGCUAUCUCUUACCCAUGUCUUUUGAGUACCUUACGUUUCCUCGGCGGGUCCGCCCGCCGAUUGGACAAUUUAAACCAUUUGCAGUUGCAAUCAGCGUCUGAAAAAACUUAAUAGUUACAACUUUCAACAACGGAUCUCUUGGUUCUGGCAUCGAUGAAGAACGCAGCGAAAUGCGAUAAGUAGUGUGAAUUGCAGAAUUCAGUGAAUCAUCGAAUCUUUGAACGCACAUUGCGCCCCUUGGUAUUCCAUGGGGCAUGCCUGUUCGAGCGUCAUUUGUACCUUCAAGCUCUGCUUGGUGUUGGGUGUUUGUCUCGCCUCUGCGUGUAGACUCGCCUCAAAACAAUUGGCAGCCGGCGUAUUGAUUUCGGAGCGCAGUACAUCUCGCGCUUUGCACUCAUAACGACGACGUCCAAAAGUACAUUUUUACACUCUUGACCUCGG